AUUUGUACGGUUACAAUGGGAGUGCAGAAAUAAAAUUGAGAAGAUAAUUUAUCCAAAAGCUUCAGAUAUUUCAAGGCUUAAAAUAAUAUAAUUUAAAACUGUAUUAAUAGUGAAUGGUAAAUCCUUUUCCAAGUUGAAAUAGGUAAGUUUUCAGGCUGCUUCAGGGAGCUGAGCUGACAUGAAAGACUUAGAGUUUGUAGUAAGCCAAGCUGCAUAUGGCCUCUCGUGGUAGGACGAGGUUUAGCCAUCAGCUGAGCUUGAAGAACUUGUCAGCUCAGUAGUUUUAUAAAAGGGUUCCAAGAAUUGUUUUAGAAUUUGAUUGAAUCAAUCUGCGUGUCAUCCACAGAAAUCAUCUAGGUUCUGUGUUCUAUCUGCUUGUGAAAAAAGGAGACCUCACUAGCAAUGGAAGACAUGCAGGUGGAAUUCCUCAAAUGACCCAGAUGUGGGCUUCCGAAGCGUGUAAAUGAGCUACCACGUAAGCCCAUACAUUCAGCUCACUAGUACACAUCAGCAAUUAUGAUUACUCUAAAUGUACUGAGAA
rnacentral:lncRNA from 1 species